rnacentral:lncRNA from 1 species
UUCAGAAACAAUAAGGAUUAUUUUUUCCAAUUUUCCUCUCUUUAAUCAACUGAAAAUGAGUUUUAGAAAAUUAUUAAUUUGGGUGUUCAAACAUUAACAGGUAAAUAAAGAACUAGGACCAAAAUCAAACUGAAUGAAAAAAUUAACUACAGGAAAAUAUGAAUACAUUGCCAAUCAAAAAUCAAAGCACAUUGAAUAUGGAACAAAGCACAGCAGGAUACCCAAGUCCUGGCAUUUUAUUAUGACAGCCACAAGAAUGCUAUGCGGUGACUACUUCUGUGAACAUAGAGAAUGCGUGUUUGAAGGAAGAAGCAAGAAUCUGGGGAUUUAUAUCAACUCUUACCACACAAUUGCUCAUCUAUACUUUUCUCCUGAGUAGGGUGUGAGCUUAUUCCCUAAAAUAGUUUAUAGACAGUUGGUUCUUGGUAAGUGUAUCACUGCCUUGGAGAUUCAACGAGUUACAUAUACAAAAUAUCAAGAAAACAUUGUGCCACUACUGAAUGCACACAGCGUUUUGCCUGUAAUUAUUACAUAUGUGAAUUAAUUCAGUAUGAUAAUUAUUUAUAUAUUUAUUACAUUUUAUUUUAUUAUCAUUUUGGAAAUUUAUCUAAUUUAGAAACAAUCUUAUUUUACAUAUCAAACCAAGUUCCCUCUCCCUCACAUCAUCCCAUGCCCCUCACUCCCCCAUCCACUCCCCAUGGAUGGUGAGGCUUUCCAUGGGGGGAUCAUCAAAGUCUGUCAUAUCAUUUGAGGGAGGGCCUAUGCCCUCCUCCCUGUAUCUGGGCUAAGAGACUACCCUUCCAUUAGUAAAUGGCUCCCAAAGUCCAUUUGUGCACUAGGCAUAAAUACUGGUUCCAUUGUCAAAUAUCCGAUAUCCUGCCCAGGCCUCCUAAUUGGAAUCCACAUUCAGUGGGAUUGGUCUGGUCCACUUCUGGUUCCCCAGCUUUAUGACUGGGGUUCCUGUGCUCUCAUUUCCUCAGGUCAGCUGUUUCUGAAGGUUUAUCCAGCAAAACCUUGACCCCUUUGCUCAUCCUUCCUCCCUCUCUACAACUGGACUCCAACAAUUCAGCUCAGUGCCUAGCUGUGGGUAUUUGCUUCUGGUUCCAUCAGCACCUGGAUGAAGGUGCUAGGAUGCCAUUUAAGGUAGUCAUCAAUCUCAUUAUACAGGAAGGGUAUUUAAGUUAGCCUCUCCAAU